rnacentral:rRNA from 1 species
CUGCAGUCUGCAACUCGACUGCACGAAGCUGGAAUCGCUAGUAAUCGCGGAUCAGCACGCCGCGGUGAAUACGUUCCCGGGCCUUGUACACACCGCCCGUCACACCAUGGAAGUCGGAAAUGCCCGAAGUCUGUGACCUAACCGCAGGGGGGAGGAGCAGCCGAAGGCAGGUCGGAUGACUGGGGUGAAGUCGUAACAAGGUACC